GGAUUGUGGCUUAGUGGUAAAGUGCUUGCCUAGCAUGUAUGAGGCACUGGGUUCGAUUCUCAGCACCA
rnacentral:tRNA from 1 species